AUUGAACGCUGGCGGCAGGCCUAACACAUGCAAGUCGAGCGGAUGAAGGGAGCUUGCUCCUGGCUUCAGCUACGGACGGGCGAGUAAUGCCUAGGUAUCUGACUUGCAGUGGGGGAUAACGUCAGGACACGGGCGCUAAUCCCGCAUACGUCCUGAGGGUGAAAGUGAUGGAUCUUCGGACCUCACGCUAUUUGAUGAGACUAGGUCGUAUUAGCUAGUUGCAUGGGUAAAGGCCUACCAAGGCGACGAUCCGUAACUGGUCUGAGAGGCUGAUCAGUCACACUGGAACUGAGACACGGUCCAGACUCCUACGGGAGGCAGCAGUGGGGAAUAUUGGGCAAUGGGCGAAAGCCUGAUCCAGCCAUGCCGCGUGUGUGAAGAAGGUCUUCGGAUUGUAAAGCACUUUAAGUUGGGAGGAAGAGAAGUAAGUUAAUACCUUGCUGUCUUGACGGUACCAACAGAAUAAGCACCGGCUAACUUCGUG
rnacentral:rRNA from 1 species